UGCAGUCGAGGGGUAUAGUUCUUCGGAACUAGAGACCGGCGCACGGGUGCGUAACGCGUAUGCAAUCUACCUUUUACAGAGGGAUAGCCCAGAGAAAUUUGGAUUAAUACCUCAUAGUAUAUAGCCCUGGCAUCAGGAUUAUAUUAAAGUCACAACGGUAAAAGAUGAGCAUGCGUCCCAUUAGCUAGUUGGUAAGGUAACGGCUUACCAAGGCUACGAUGGGUAGGGGUCCUGAGAGGGAGAUCCCCCACACUGGUACUGAGACACGGACCAGACUCCUACGGGAGGCAGCAGUGAGGAAUAUUGGACAAUGGGCGCAAGCCUGAUCCAGCCAUGCCGCGUGCAGGAUGACGGUCCUAUGGAUUGUAAACUGCUUUUAUACGAGAAGAAACACUCCUUCGUGAAGGAGCUUGACGGUAUCGUAAGAAUAAGGAUCGGCUAACUCCGUGCCAGCAGCCGCGGUAAUACGGAGGAUCCAAGCGUUAUCCGGAAUCAUUGGGUUUAAAGGGUCCGUAGGCGGUUUAAUAAGUCAGUGGUGAAAGCCCAUCGCUCAACGGUGGAACGGCCAUUGAUACUGUUAGACUUGAAUUAUUAGGAAGUAACUAGAAUAUGUAGUGUAGCGGUGAAAUGCUUAGAGAUUACAUGGAAUACCAAUUGCGAAGGCAGGUUACUACUAAUUGAUUGACGCUGAUGGACGAAAGCGUGGGUAGCGAACAGGAUUAGAUACCCUGGUAGUCCACGCCGUAAACGAUGGAUACUAGCUGUUGGAAGCAAUUUCAGUGGCUAAGCGAAAGUGAUAAGUAUCCCACCUGGGGAGUACGUUCGCAAGAAUGAAACUCAAAGGAAUUUGACGGGGGCCCGCACAAGCGGUGG
rnacentral:rRNA from 1 species